AGUGAACGCUGGCGGUAGGCCUAACACAUGCCAGUCGAACGGCAGCACAGUAAGAGCUUGCUCUUACGGGUGGCGAGUGGCGGACGGGUGAGGAAUACAUCGGAAUCUACUUUUUCGUGGGGGAUAACGUAGGGAAACUUACGCUAAUACCGCAUACGACCUACGGGUGAAAGCAGGGGAUCUUCGGACCUUGCGCGAUUGAAUGAGCCGAUGUCGGAUUAGCUAGUUGGCGGGGUAAAGGCCCACCAAGGCGACGAUCCGUAGCUGGUCUGAGAGGAUGAUAAGCCACACUGGAACUGAGACACGGUCCAGACUCAUACGGGAGGCAGCAGUGGGGAAUAUUGGACAAUGGGCGCAAGCCUGAUCCAGCCAUACCGCGUGGGUGAAGAAGGCCUUCGGGUUGUAAAGCCCUUUUGUUGGGAAAGAAAAGCAGCAGGUUAAUACCCCGCUGUUCUGACGGUACCAAAAGAAUAAGCACCGGCUAACUUCGUG
rnacentral:rRNA from 1 species